rnacentral:rRNA from 1 species
CCUACGGGGUGCAGCAGUGAGGAAUAUUGGUCAAUGGGCGCAAGCCUGAACCAGCCAAGUCGCGUGAGGGAUGACGGUCCUAUGGAUUGUAAACCUCUUUUGUCGGGGAGCAAGGCCCGCCACGUGUGGCGGGAAGGAGAGUACCCGAAGAAAAAGCAUCGGCUAACUCCGUGCCAGCAGCCGCGGUAAUACGUAGGGAGCGAGCGUUGUCCGGAAUUACUGGGUGUAAAGGGAGCGUAGGCGGGACGGCAAGUCAGAUGUGAAAACUGAGGGCUCAACUUUCAGACUGCAUUUGAAACUGCUGUUCUUGAGUGAAGUAGAGGUGAGCGGAAUUCCUAGUGUAGCGGUGAAAUGCGUAGAUAUUAGGAGGAACAUCGGUGGCGAAGGCGGCUUACUGGGCUUUUACUGACGCUGAGGCUCGAAAGCGUGGGGAGCAAACAGGAUUAGAUACCCCGGUAGUC